rnacentral:sRNA from 1 species
CAAAUGGUCACAGGGUUCGCGGGAGAUCGGAGUUCGAUUCUCCGACAGGAAGUUCUUUUUUUGCUUUUCUUGUUUCUUCUUUUCCUUUUUGGCCAUUUGAAACGUACUUACGAGUUUUGUUUCACUAGAGACCGACGGCAAUGGAAGUCAUUGCUACGCCCCCUAAAAGCACAUGACAUGCGAUUUCUACUUACAUUUAAUAUGAUUGAUUGGAGCGAAAAGGUGAAAUCAUUGACGGUUGUGCCUGGGUUGGCGCAGGUCUCCAUACAGCACCCUGCUGAGUCCGAUUCCGAUAAUAGGAGAACAGAUAGGGAAACUGGCGUAUAGUAAAUAUUUCUUUUACGUUUCGCUAGUCGGAUGCAACUAGCAAUCUAAGCCAAGCUAAGGAAUGCUCGGUCAGUACCACAGUAGGGACUACGUGGGAAUCCCAGGUCUCUUUUCGCAUCUUUUAGUAUAUGGCGGAACGACUGUGACAUAAUUUCUUUUUACUGGCAUGAACCUCACUCAUCCUAC